GGGGACGUGGCGGAACUGGCAGACGCGCUGGAUUUAGGUUCCAGUUCCUUCGGGAGUGCAGGUUCGAUUCCUGUCGUCCCCAC
rnacentral:tRNA from 3 species